UCAAACUUGGUCAUUUAGAGGAAGUAAAAGUCGUAACAAGGUUUCCGUAGGUGAACCUGCGGAAGGAUCAUUACCGAGUUCGGGGCCCUUAGGCCCCUACGCUCCAACCCUGUGUCUCCUCUACCGCGUUGCUUUGGCGGGGCCGGUCCGUUGACCGCCGGGGGUGUUGCGCCUCUGGUCCCGUGCCCCGCCGGUGGCCUUUUCAACCAAAAUCAACCCAAAUCAUGACCUGAAUCUGUGAACAGAGAAUUCACGACAAAAAACUUUCAACAACGGAUCUCUUGGUUCUGGCAUCGAUGAAGAACGCAGC
rnacentral:misc_RNA from 1 species